GAGAAUUCAGAUGUCUCUCUCCUCCUCCCUGAGACAUCUGUAAACGGCGGCGGCCCCCUCCUCCUCCCUGGGCCGCCGCCAUUAAGACCCCGGGUCUUCGG
rnacentral:ncRNA from 14 species